rnacentral:tRNA from 1 species
CAAAGUGUAGCUUAACUAAAAGCACCCGGCUUACAUCCGGGAGAUAUCAGACAAAUUGACCACUUU